AAAACAUUCUUUCCCUUAGUAAAGGAGAUUGAACAGGAAUUAGGAACUAUAAAACAAGUACCGCAAGGGAAUGUUGAAAUAGAGAUGAAAGAGCCCAGUCAAGAACUAUAAAGCAGAGAUUAAACCUUGUACCUUUUGCAUCAUGAUUUAGCGAGCACAACUAGGCAAGAAGACCCUUAGUCUAAAGCCCCGAAACUAAGUGAGCUACUCCAAGACAGCAUAUUAUAUAGUGCCCACCCGUCUCUGUCGCAAAAGAUGUGGGGAGAGCUUUGAGUAGAAGUGAUAAACCAAUCGGACUUAGUUAUAGCUGGUUUUCUGAGAAAUGGAUAUUAGUUCAGCCCUUUAGAUUCUUAAGUCAGACAGAGUUUAUAUCUUGUAUAAAGUCCCAAGGACAAAAAGAAUCUUAAGGAGUUAAUCAAAUGGGGUCCAGCCCCUUUGAUAAAAGAAACAACUUUAUUAAUACUAGGUAAAGAUCAUCACCACCUUAAGGCUAAUUAUUUAAGUAGGCCUGAAAGCAGCCACCUCUUAAGAAAGCGUUAAAGCUCAAAUAAAUUUCCCCUAAUAAUAACGAAAAAUUAUUCUUAACCUGUUUUACCUAUCAGAAUAUCUUAUACACCUAUAAGAGAAACUAUGCUAAUAUUAGUAAUAAGAGACUUGACUCUCUCCAAGCAAGAGUGUAACUUGAAACGGACCCACCAACAAGAAAUAACGACCCCAACUUUUCAUAACAGAGGGAACAGAAAAAUAAAUAAAUAACUAGAAAAACUUUCUAAAAAUACCGUUAACCCCACACUGGAUUGCCUAUAAGGAAAGAUUAAAAGAGAAAGAAGGAACUCGGCAAACCCAAGCCUCGACUGUUUACCAAAAACAUCGCCUCUUGAUACCCUAAUAUAAGAGGUAAGACCUGCCCAAUGAUAUCGAUUUAAUGGCCGCGGUAUUUUAACCGUGCUAAGGUAGCGUAAUCAUUUGUCCUUUAAAUGAAGACCUGUAUGAAUGGUUUAACGAGGGCUUAACUGUCUCCUUUCUCAAAUCAAUGAAAUUGAUCUCUCCGUGCAAAAGCGGAGAUAAGACUAUAAGACGAGAAGACCCUGUGGAGCUUAAAAUAGUUUUACAUAUUACGCCAAAAUACCCCUGAUAACAAGUAAAAAGCUUAUAAUCCCUGUAAACUAUUUUCAGUUGGGGCGACUAUGGGGCAUAUCAAACCCCCACGAAGACUAGGAACACCUUAAAGGUAACCUUAAUUUUCCUAAAACUUAGAAACACCCUUCAAAAUAAUAGAAUAUCUAACUUUAUUUGAUCCAAUCCGUUGAUCAACGAACCAAGUUACCCCAGGGAUAACAGCGCAAU
rnacentral:rRNA from 1 species